AUUGAACGCUGGCGGCAUGCCUUACACAUGCAAGUCGAACGGCAGCACGGGUGCUUGCACCUGGUGGCGAGUGGCGAACGGGUGAGUAAUACAUCGGAACAUGUCCUGUAGUGGGGGAUAGCCCGGCGAAAGCCGGAUUAAUACCGCAUACGAUCUACGGAUGAAAGCGGGGGACCUUCGGGCCUCGCGCUAUAGGGUUGGCCGAUGGCUGAUUAGCUAGUUGGUGGGGUAAAGGCCUACCAAGGCGACGAUCAGUAGCUGGUCUGAGAGGACGACCAGCCACACUGGGACUGCGACACGGCCCAGACUCCUACGGGAGGCAGCAGUGGGGAAUUUUGGACAAUGGGCGAAAGCCUGAUCCAGCAAUGCCGCGUGUGUGAAGAAGGCCUUCGGGUUGUAAAGCACUUUUGUCCGGAAAGAAAUCCUUGGCCCUAAUACGGUCGGGGGAUGACGGUACCGGAAGAAUAAGCACCGGCUAACUACGUG
rnacentral:rRNA from 1 species